UCAUCUUUGCUAGAGCUCGAGCCGUGUGCCCUUGACAAACUAAAGAUUGCGAAUGAGCUCAACUCUCUCACAAAUCUAACGAUAAAAAAGAGCAUAAGAAAAGAUCCCAGAUCAUACAAAAAUGAGUCUGGCUCCACUAAAAUCACAUUAUCAGCGGCAAAACAAAAAAAAAUUGCAACAUCUCAAAACACAUGUUGCAACAUCACAGAAACACCUUAUGUAAAAACUGAAAAAUAGCUAAUCGAACAAAACAUCAUCUACUGCAAUCAACUAGCAUCAUCUAGCAACAUCUCAGUUUGCUUAUCUGAAUAUUCCUAAUGGCCUUUUGUAAUAUCUGAAAUCACUAAUUUCAACAUUCCAUAUCAAUUGCAAUCAACUCAGCAAAAUCAGAACAUCAUCUACUGCAACAUGUCAAAAAGACUCGAUGGAACAUGCUGGAACUGGAACAUCCGAUGCAACAUCGAUAGAAGAAUCUAAUAAAAAACUAACAUCUCAAUUUUUGUUUGCUGCAACAUCCAAAAUCGUCUAUUGUAACAUUUGAACUCACAUACUGUAACAUCUGCAAAACAAUAAUCACAGCAUCACACAUGAGCCCAGGUCGCUGUUGGUCCUAUGCCAUCCAACGCCUCCACUCACCGCAAAUUUGGGUUGGCAAGAAUAGCCUCCUCUGAUGCGUGUCCAGCCGAGGGAAAGGAGGUCGCCAGUGGCAUGGCAUGCGAGCUUGGGCUGGAGAGGAUAUCAUAUAUGAUGGGUGGAAGAAUUGGCCGUGCGCUGCCCCGCCAUAUAUAACACCCUCGAGCGGCUCGACGGUGAAUGCUAGAACUCAUGGGGAACUGCCCCGGCACCGUGAUGCCCGCUCGCAUUGCUCCACCAUGGGGAACCACCCAAUUGUUUGAGAUGGUAGGGAUGUGUCCGUGCUCACCGCGCUGCAAUUCUAGUGAGGGUGAGGGGAGCUCAAAGUGGUGGAGUGGCAAGCAUGGUCAAUGGAGAUCGGAGGUGGAGGAGGAUACGAGGCUCAAGAGCGACCAAACGAGUGGAUA
rnacentral:lncRNA from 1 species